AGGAGGGACUCAGUGUUCAUAUGAUCUUAGCGUCUGACAGAGACUGCGGUUGAAAGGAUUCAGAGGAUUCUUCUCAGAGUGAACACUUGUACAAUGGAUCUUCAUUCAGUUAUUCUGUUCUGUGCCUCAGCUGCUGCUGUCUUUGGGAAUGUCAUUAAACCAAACAAAACAGAUGUUUUUGCUGAGGAGGAUUCAAGUGUUACAUUAUCCUGUAGUUUUUCUGUAUCUGGAGGUACAGAUUAUCUCCACUGGCAUCGUCAGUAUGGAAGAUCAAAACCUGAAUUUCUUGUUCUCACCUACAGCAAUGCCAGAGAUGCUGAGGUGUCUAAGAUAGAUCCAAGAUUCUCUGUUAACAUUCCAAAAAGAGAACACGUUGAUCUGGAGAUCUCCUCUGCAUCGAUAUCAGACUCUGCUCUGUACUACUGCGCUCUGGUGCCCACAGUGACAGGAAACACAUCAGCUCUCUACAAAAACCUGUUACAAUGA